GCGCAGCCAUCAUCACCCUUGAGGAGCAGCGCAGCCAUCAUCACCCUUGAGGAGCAGCGCAGCCAUCAUCACCCUUGAGGAGCAGCGCAGCCAUCACCACCUCUGAAAGAACAGCGCAGCACCAGCGCUCCUUAGAAAAGGGUUCCCAACUACUUUCUGAAAGAGGCAAAAGCUGCAAGGCCGUUGGAACAAGGACAGUCACCAGUGACAACGACGCCGAGGACGUACCGAGCACGUGCCCCGAAGGAAAAGACGAUCUUACCCUCUCAUCUUCAUCUCUUAUAAAUAGCAUGUCUGUAAUAGUAGAAGGGACCGAUCUUUU
rnacentral:lncRNA from 1 species